rnacentral:rRNA from 1 species
CCUACGGGCGGCAGCAGUGGGGAAUAUUGCGCAAUGGGGGAAACCCUGAUGCAGCAACGCCGCGUGAUUGAAGAAGGACUUCGGGUUGUAAAGCUCUAUCAUCAGGGAAGAAUUUUGACGGUACCUGACUAAUAAGCUCCGGCUAACUACGUGCCAGCAGCCGCGGUAAUACGUAGGGAGUAAGCGUUAUCCGGAUUUACUGGGUGUAAAGGGCGUGUAGGCGGGCGCGCAAGCCUGAAGUGAAAGCCGGGGGCUUAACCCUGGGACUGCUUUUGAAACUGUGUGGCUUGAGUGCUGGAGAGGCAGGUGGAAUUCCCAGUGUAGCGGUGAAAUGCGUAGAUAUUAGGAGGAACACCAGUGGCGAAGGCGGCUUGCUGGACAGUAACUGACGUUGAGGCGCGAAAGCGUGGGGAGCAAACAGGAUUAGAUACCCGAGUAGUC